GUGAUUUCCUGUCUUGCAUACACGACUGUUAACAUUCCUUGGUGUUAUUGUUAUUGUGAGCGCGAGUGUGAGCAAAAACACCUGGAGGGGAGUGAGCAUAUAUAUACGGCGUUUUUAAGCAGCUGGUUUGUAGAAAGCACAAUAACAACGUAAUUGGGCCAAGAUGGUCAUCGCAACCGUGCUUUCUUAAGCUGGCUCAGACAGCUUCCACUCCCGCCUUAUGCCGGAGGGAUCGCUCUCGCCAGGCGCACGCAGGGGAAGCCGCGGUCCCGCCUCCGAGGUGAGGUAAGGCCGGGCCGGGGCAGGCCCUGCGGCGCGGGAUCGCGCGGGGAGGCGGCGGGCGGGCAGGUGAGGGGCCUGAGGGCCCGCGCCAGAGCCGCAGCCGGGAGCGGAGCGGCCCCGGGGGCCGGGCGGGGGCGGGAAGAGAGGCGGGAGGCCGGGCCUGGGCCGUCGCUCCCUUCCGCGCUGCUCCGGAGGCCGGGCCGGGCCCAGCGGGCAGCGACGCGAGGCGCCGUCUUUCCGCUCGUCGCGGCCUGCACCGCCACCCCGCCUCGUCCCCUUCCCCACCGCCCCCCGGUACCUGCCGGCGUUCCCAGGGCCGCGGGGCGGCGGCUUCUGGCGGCGGUGGCGCUGCCUGCGCGGAUGUGCCGGGCCCCGCCGCGAGGAGGGGAAGGGGCGGGGGUGGGGGCGGACGCGGGGCCGCUUCUCGCCCCUGCCAGGCGGAGCGGAGGGGCUGUGGGGAUCGCCGCGCUGCGGGGCGGGCCGCGCCCUCCCCUUCUGCUUUUGGGCUCCGAGGAAGGAACGCGACGGGGUUCUGUGGGAGCAGAUAUCGGUGGCAGCGCCCAGCUACAAACCCGCCCCCAAAAUAAGUGUGUUUUUUUCUUUUUGGUUUGAGCGCUUAUCAAGGCACCGCGCUUGCUACGGCCUCAGAACCGGCCGCGGGGCUGCGGCUCGCGCUGCGGGAAGGCCGCUGUCCGCGCGGGUUCCUCAGGGAGCGCCCGCCCGCUGUUCCCGUGGGCUCAGCGCAGCCGGGGAGUCCCUGCAGAACGGUGGCGUGCAGUUAGGUUUUGUGCUCUUCCACGGUGAUAGUCACAGAGAUCUGUGCUUCUAUAGAUUAGAAUCCCAAAAUGGGGAGGUGUGUUGUGCUCUGUGUGUUGUAAGCUCCCUUGUAUUUAACUGUGACACAAACACUGAGGUGCAGGAAAGCUCUUAUCUCUGUAGCAAAGACCUCCCUGCAACACCAGACUUUUUUUUUCCCCCGAUUUAACAAGUGUGAACCACGCUUCUUUAUUGCAGUGCCUUUAAAGCUUUUUGUCAUAGCAGAAAGUUUACCCCCAAAACCUUAUCCAAAUGCUGACUCCCACAUCCAAUUGCACAAAGCAGAUUUCCCCCCACAUUCAUACAAAUACUGUGGUAUGGGCUGAAGUGGAAUUCACUUCUUCAGUGCAGUGUUCAGGUGCUUUUCCAUCAGCAUUUCAGAGUCCAGCAAUACUUGCUUUUUGGUUCCACAAUUAGUUCAACAUCAGUGUUUCAAACAGGCAGAAAUUCAGGGAAAACUUGCUUGGAGAGGCACAGCAAACUGUAACGACCCUGGUGAUUCAGAGCCGUUGGACCAAUGUCUUACAACAUGCAAAGUCAGGUAGAUUUUAAGGAUCUGUCUUUGCACGCUUCCUAUGUUAUAUAAUUAGUUUUAGAAGAAAUGGAAUGUAUGUUUUCUCUUAAUUCUUCUGAUUAAGAUCCUCAAUUAAUUAAACAUUUCCACUACAAGUCAGUUUACAGUUGGUUAGACAUACUGAAGAAUUCAGGUUAGACUGAAACUGAAGAAUUAUGGGCAUUAGGUUCACCAUGUUACUGAUGGCAUCAGAACUAUAGCCAUGUCAUGCAGGUCAGGUGUUUGCUAAAAUUACCAUACCGUAUAUGAAUCAAACAAGUGAUUUUUAUGGUAUAAAUAAAGUCUUAAGUAUGCGUAUUUUUGUAAAGAACAGCAUAUUGCAUUACCUUUUAAGCAGUUAAUUCUCACUAUAAGCCCAUUCCAAAGCUAUGGGACAUUGUCUUUGGCACAAGUGGAGGGAAGGUGUGGCAGCAUGUAUGCACAGCAGAGAAGGGUUCCAGCAGGAUCACAAGGCCAGGAUAUUUGCAGGGGCAGAAUAUGUUCUGCUGAGGCUGUUCUGUUUUGUUGUGCUGAAGGGAAUAUGGUAUUUCAGCCCAGUGAAUGGGUAGUACCUGGAUUCCAUGACUUUUUUCACCAGGUUUUACAUUAAAGAAAAAUGUGAAAAAGCUGCACAACAUGGCAUUCUGUAGUGUAGCAUCUAAACUCGUUUGCAGUUGCAGGUUUGUUUUUGUUUUUAAAUUGUAAUUGGUGCAGGCCCAUGAGUAGUAAAAAAAAAGAAGUAAAAUACCCUGUUUAUGUCAGUGUAAGCCAUGACAACACCAGUAGUGGGGACUCCAGUGAGGCUCUCUCCUUGGCCAAGAAAUGAACUGCGUAAUUAAAAUAGAGUUACAAAACCUAACUUACAUGAUGGAUAAGCACACGUCCAUCACUUACCUGAAAAAAAACCACAGUCUGAGGCUUUCACUCCAUUUAAGCCGGGACACAAUUCCCACCAGCUGCAUUACAAAAUCUGAAGGCACAGUUCUGUCCUUCAGCACUGCCCCAUAAGUGCAUGCAGGGUCCCUCACAUUCUGACUUGUUUCAGUAGUCUCAUGUUUCAUCACCACUGUUGCUUUUACAGAACUUGUUGACAGUAUUAACUCCAUCAUCGGUAUUAUUAACUCUUUCAACAGUAUUAACUCUCUUGACUCAAUAGUGUGAAAUGGCAAUAAAAGUAUUUCAAAUCCUUUUUGAUUUAAACAGAUUCCCACCUCUAAACACUGGUUCAGUGAUCAUUUUUCAAUAUUAUAACAGUAUUUCAUGCAGGUCUAAUAAAAGUGACUAAAGUGUUUAACAAAAAAAGUUUAUUACCAAAAUACAAUAUUAAAGUCAAUACGUGACAAACUCCUGUAAAGCAAAAUAAAUUAUUCUAACAUUGUACAGUAUUUCAGAAGGUAGUUAAAGUAGUACUACAGACUUUGCUUCAUAGUUCCAAACAGUCAUCUAUCAGGAACACAAUCCUAGAGAGAGCUUAAGGCAUGCAGCUUAAUGUGCUGGAUAAUUUCAUAAAACGAAAGUCAUCCUAUUUAAUAAGAUACAGUAUCAGCAUUAACUGCAGUCUUUACAUGUCAGUUUUCUAAUUUUUUUUUAUACUUUGGCUAUAAAAGCAAUGCCAUAGUGUUACAAUACCUUUUCUUAAAAAAAUACAUGUACCCAUGUCCAUGAAUUAUCAAAUGCAAAUGUAAAUUUCUAUUAAAUAUAUCUUAACAAAUGUUACUUUGAGCACCAACUGUACAUUUUAAAAAAAUGAUUAAAUAAGUGCUUCUGAAAGAGGAAAAUACAAUAAUUCUGACUGAAUCCCAUUUCUCCAGGCCAAGCAUAAAAUGGAAAGAUGAAAUAUGCACCUAUUUAUCAUUAUAGCCUAGUAUGAAUGAAGUUUUCUCAUUAGUAGGAGUACAGGCAUUUAAAAUCAAAGCGAUAAGUUACAGUUCAUUUUGUGGACUAAACUCUAAUGAAAACAAACAGGAAGAGAAAAGCUGAUGAGCUGAGUGCAGUGACAGAAGAUCCAAAAAAUGUUUUAGAACCUUAAAAAAAGGGGAAGACUGCAGUGUUAGUGACUUUGAAAUGUGCUUGAAAAACCCUUAUAUAACAUGCAGCCAAGCCAACCAUAUGCUUUCUAAAGCAGAUAACCUGAGAAAUACUUUGCUUUCAGAAACUAAGCCUAUAAUUACUUCACAUGCAGAACUUCUGAUAAAGGCCAUGGGAAUUGUGAGUGGGUAACGAACAGCAAGCAGCACGGGGACAGUUAAAAAUGCUUCUGUGCCUCCAGGAAAGAAUACUUUGUUGGCAUUUAGUAGAUGGAUAGCAGGUUUUAGAGGCAGCUAGCUUGAUACCAUUGCGUAGUAACCCAUGGUUUAGCAGAAAAAAAGCAUCAAGAUUGCAAAGAGCAAUUGUAAAUAGAUACGUCCUGGUUCCUAAUCCCAUUACAAGGAGUCUUGGUGCAUUAUACUUACUGCUGCAAGUGUGGCCUGAACACAGACCUAAACUGUUAACUUCAAUUCAAAGCUACUUACUUAUCUUCUCAGUUUGUGAAUACAAGUUUUUCACCUUUUCUCUCUCACUAGCAGAGCAACCUGACAUAACUAUCCCUUUAUGCAAAAAUAAGAACGUGGCAAACUAUGGUUUCUGUGCAUACUGACUGAUAGAGUUUCACUAUCUCUAAUUCAUUUUGACGUGAUGUGAAUAAAUCAUGUUUUUCAAAUGUAAAAUCCUGUUGUAGAAAUAUGAAAAAUAACUUUUAACAAAAAAAUAGUACUUGCUUCGCAUUUGUAUUUAAAGUAUCCCAACCACCUUAUAAAAAUGCUUGGAUGUCACAUCAUGACCAAUUUUUAAAGUAAAAUAUAUACUUUUUGAUACCUAAUUUAUAAACAAAGUAAUAUAUAUUUAAUCCAAAGAACAAGUUAAGGAAAUAGCUUACAAACAAAAACCACAAAAUGUAGCUGGAAUCUUCAUGCCUUUUGCCCUAGCAUUUAGACUUCAUGCUAUAUCAUAAAGUUGUAACCAGACUUGUUUUUUUCUCUUCCUCUUUGCCACUUUCAGUCAGCAGUGCACAGCACACUGUGUGCUAUAUACACAUGUACGUACAGCACCUUCUUGGAUUUACUGCUGUAGCUUACUUUCUGCUAGCAGAAAUGCAUAAAUGGGAAAUAAAAUGCUAUUUUUCUAAGAGCAAGUCAUUUUUAAGUAAUAAGCUAAUAAAAAAUCAGGUAACUGCAUUCCAUGUCAGGAACUAGGCAUGCUUCUGUGCUACUGCCAUUCUUUAAAAGCAGAAAUAAACAGCUACACUAGAAAGUUCAAAUCAUGUUAUGAAAGGGCUUGUUCAGAAGUGCUACGAUUUCAUUCAACUGAAAUGUAUAUCCCAAACAAUUCAGAUAGCCAACUUUAUACAUAACCUCCAAAAGUUGCCUGGUAAUUAGCCUGAUCCCAACUGACACGUAGAUGAACAUCUUCUACUGCACACUGCUGUUAGCAGGAAAAAUAAGGGAGAGACUUCCACGUGUUCCUUAGAAAACAAAGCAAUCCUCAAUUUCCUUUAUAAAUUCAUACUUAUAAACUAGCAAAAGUUAUCCUACAACUGACUGGUUUCGAUGAUUUUGCUUAAAAUACUGUUUGCCGUAUUUUAUUUUUUGAAAGAUAACUUUCUGUAGGAAGACUGUUUCUAUGAACUAUUUCUACAGUGACAACUCUGCCACACAAAUGGGAAAUUCAGACAGCCAGUGGGAUUUUGAAAACUCCAAAGCAUGUAGGCAUUUCUCAAAAUCCCAGCUUAUGCUCAUCCACAUCCUUGGGAUCUACAUAGGUUUAAAAAUCUCUUAGUAGUAAUUAUUGUUAACACCUUGAUCUCAUUAGAAAACAGUCCUCAUAUGUAUUGCAAAGUAAUUACUGCAAGUUACAAGUGACAUAUGAGAUGCUUGGUGUUGCUUUUUGUUUAAGUUUUUUUUUUUAAAUAGUUCUGCUGAAUGUGUUAAUAAAGCCCUUAAGAUACAGCAGGUCAUUAUUAUAAAGAAUCUUUUACACAUAAUCAAUUAAAAAGAUGUAUGCUAUUAGUUAGGAUCCAAUUGGAGAGAUAGUUACUAGCAAAAUGCUUCUAGGCUACUCAGCUCCUGGUGCUCUAAAUCAACAGAUAGGAUACCACUCUUUUUUGAAACACAGCUUAGAGUUUGUAAAGCCUUAAAAAUAGACUGGGAAAAUGAAAUGCCUGGGCGUAUGUGCAAGCACACACAUGUCCUCACCCACCUCCCCUCUCUACCUUCAGGAAUCCAGGCUGAGUUAGAUGAGAUCACACUGUAAAUUUGUAUCUGGUGUGUUGCUAGUUUCAAAAAAGAGAGUAACACAGUUAUUUGCCUAAAUAUUUGGAAAACACCAAAGCUUUUCAGUUGAUAUAAAGCUUUCAUACCUUUGGGUUUGAACACACUGUACUAAUGCAUUAUUCCUGACUAGUACCUGUCAACAAAAGGAAAAAAAGCAACAAUCCUGCAUUCUUGGCACCAUAUAGAGAAAUAACAGGUUAACGUGGAUUGUUCUCUUCCCUGCUCCCAGUAUUUAUCUCUAAAAUGAUUCAUCGAUCCCUGGUUAAAAUUUUAUAUUCUCACUGAAACAAGGACUUAGGAUGGGAAAUCAUCAAGUUUUGUUUGCAAUUCUUCUUUUUAGCUUCUCAGGCAAAAUUAGCAAAGAAAGAAAAUAUUCACUCUAGGAAAUCCUCUCUUCAACUUACUGCUUCACCUAGUUUGUGUUCUGAUUUGUGCUGUGGUCCUUAUUUAGGAUAAUAUUUAUUAUUUCACCCUCAUGUUCUUUCAUAUGAUCCAGCAGAUUUUCUUUGUUGGUAGACUCAAAACCACAAAUACAGCAGCAGAAGAGAAGCACACAGUAUUCUGUGCCAAGAUGGGGUAGAGUGGAGUUCUUUUCUAAACUGCAUGAGGUAUUCAUCAAAUUAGGCUUUUCAUUUUCAUCAGAACCUGAAAUUUCAUUAUUAGUCUGGUUAGUAGACUCUGUAAAGGACACCAGGUUGUCUGAACUUCCUAGAAUAGAUACAGUACUUUCUUCUGUGCCUUCUAGUAAGGUUUUGUCAGGAAGCUGUCCUUGAAACCUGAAAAAAUAAUAAAAACUUGAAACAACUAUCAAAAUGUACAGUGGUUGCUUUUUGAUGGGAAUUUUACUUUGGAUCAGAAUUGGCUCAUUUGAAAAUUCUAGAUAAUAGGUUUGAAAGUAGACCUGAUUUACCUGCUGCUUUGUGAAAUUGCAUCGUUAAUAGCCUUGUUGACUUGUUCGUAGUUAUAAUUUUGGUCACUUGCAUGUUUCCACAUGUGGGACUUCAGGGAAGGGGGAUGGCUACAUACAUAUCCACAGAGAGAACACCUAAGGAAAAGAAGUGGAGAAGAGAUGCAUUUAAGAGUUAAGUUUUACUAUAAUGGUAAUGCAUUUUUUUCUCCCAAAAGGAUGACUCAGCAGUAAGAUACACAUCAAUCCUCAUAACUAGGUGAAAUAAGUUUGCACAAUUUCAUUCUACAAUGUAAUUUAGAGAGUAUGAGAAUUUAAGAUCGGCUUUUUAAACUCCUUAAACGACUUAACUGAAAUCUUAUCUAUUUGACCUGUUAAAUCUGUUUAAAUACUGCAAAAAUGAAAUAGUUCUAACGACUGCAGAAACAUGGAGUAUAUCUGUAUGGCAGCUGGCAGGCUGAGUUUUCUCUGCCAUUGCUCUGAACCAAGCAGAAAUUGUAAUAAUUAGCACUGCUAAUUUAAACAGAAUUGAUAAAGCCUUUCUUGGUGCAGCAUGUAUUAGUUUAUUUGAGGAUCACAGAAUUGCAGAAGUUGGAAGGCACCCCUAGAGAAUAUCCUGCUCCAUCCAGCUGUUCAUGCAGGAGAAACUAGAGCAGGUUCCCAAGGCAGCAU
rnacentral:lncRNA from 1 species